AACACAAAAGACUUGUGUAAAAAUACUAAAACAAUUAUUCGCCUCAGGCUCGGUGAUUAUCGGGGAAUAUUCACCUCGACUUCGUCUCGGCGAAUAUUCCCCGAUAAUCACCUCGCUUUCGGCGAAUAAUUGUUAACUAUUCAUAUGCAAUUUCUCAAUAUUUUUCAAUUCGGUGCAAAUGUACAGGAGAAGAUAUUCAUAUUGGAUUCACUCCAAGAGACUAAAGUACGCCUGAAAAGGAAAGUGGAAAAUAUGUUUUAACACCCUAGAAGGUUGAUGUCGAACCGAACUCCAAACGUUUAUGUACGAGGCCAUAUUGAUUGCAUUAACUAGCAGAACAUUCCUUUACUUCGCUCUUCCCAUCACUCCUUGCGCGCUCACAUUUCCCUCACUAGAAACUUCAUGUAAACCUCUGCGGAGGAGAGAGGCCAACAUGUAAACAUGUUUUAGCUCCCAACAUUUACUACUGAUUCUAUAGCAACAUGAAUCAAAACCUU